UAUUUACCUAAUACAGAAUAAAAAUAAAUGACUAAAUAUCGUUCACAUAUCAAGAAAAUAGUUGAACUAGAGAAAAAAGAAAGAACGCGCGACUUUUAAGAUACAGAAGAAUGAUAGCUGUAACUGUUCUCUUCGCUGAAAUCAAUGCAAGAAGAGAAACGGUUUACUUCCCUUUCACUACUUUUACUGAAAAAAGGCACGAUGCAAGCACUUUAUUAUAGGAUUAAGUGUUCUCUAGUUGAGAUUACUAACCACGUAUAAGGUAACAUUGUACGUAGUAUCGUACUUCAUCCUGUGAAGCGUCAAUUUUGUUUGACGCACGCAAUGAAGUCCUUCCGGAAUGCCGCGAUGUUGCUGUUCCUUAGAAGAGGAACUCCCUUUCGUCGAAUGCUGGUAAACGCGUAGAACAUUUUGCGCGGCGCAAAGGGUCAAGGGGUGAGCCUGAGACCCUGAUGUCACGGCUAAACAGUAAUGCGAGAGGUGGGGAUCUAUGUUGCUGUAAAAAUAAAUGGAUUUUUGUCGAAUUCGUGGCAUGAAUCACACAAGCCUAUUUUAAUUCGCUGGGACGUUAAUCGUAAACUUGAUAUUUCGUCGACCAGCCAAAGAAAAUCUUUAUUCCUCUAAUUUCUAUUUUGUUCAAAAAUCAAUCUUUCUAUUAUUCUUUUGAAUAUGAAUAGUAGAGUUCUAGCGAUAAUCAAUUAUCGUAUGUUGUUAUUAUUAUUAUCAUUUAAAAUUUUAAAAUAAAUUUAACAAAUGAUAUUUGCGAAAACUGCAAUUUGUUUAAUUCGUUGCUUGUAUGGAGUUAGAUUGGCGAACAAGGUUUGGACAUUUUUAUAUGUAUGCGGGAAAUGAUUUCGAAGCUUGUAUUACAAAACUUUUGUCCAAUAUUACAUCGAGUUUGAUUUAAUUUGCCAAGUAUCUCUCAGUUACAUCGAAAUUACAAUUUACGAGCUCGAUAUGUCCAUAUGAUAAGGCAAUUUUUAUUACAUUUCGAUUAUUUUUAUCUCUUGGAAAUAAAAUGUGAUUAGGAGUUGUUACACGUUGAAUAUAACUGUACGCGAUACUAUGGUUAAAUAUGACAACUAAGUUUUUUGCCAACAACUUGCGCGUCAAAAGAAAAUUAUUAGCCAUACCUUUUAUUCCAGGAUAUCGUAAGCCGACGUUUGCUUCUUCGUUGUUGAAAUCUUAACGAGCGGUGACGAUUUUCCAUUUCGUUUGCAUACAAUUCCGGGAUAUGGCUCAAACUGCUUGAUGUGGCGUACAGCAGCACCGUGCUCGGUGUUAAAUUUUGUAAACUGGCACCAGGAGGGUUCACGGAUUUAAUUUCGAACCAAUAAAGACCAGCGCGUGUCUUUGAUAUCGUAAAAUUCUGAUCCUCUGCACCCUCGUACGUGAAAAGAGGGGAGCCUGGUUUCAAACUCUUCACUGGCCACCGGGUUUGAACUGUUGUAUCGAUCAUAAUAUACACUUUAUCAUAGAUUCUCUCUUGGAUA